rnacentral:rRNA from 1 species
UACGUAGGGUCCGAGCGUUGUCCGGAAUUACUGGGCGUAAAGAGCUCGUAGGUGGUUUGUCGCGUUGUUCGUGAAAACUCACAGCUCAACUGUGGGCGUGCGGGCGAUACGGGCAGACUUGAGUACUGCAGGGGAGACUGGAAUUCCUGGUGUAGCGGUGGAAUGCGCAGAUAUCAGGAGGAACACCGGUGGCGAAGGCGGAUCUCUGGGCCUUACCUGACGCUGAGGCGCGAAAGCUAGGGGAGCAAACAGG